rnacentral:rRNA from 1 species
UACGUAGGGUGCAAGCGUUGUCCGGAAUUAUUGGGCGUAAAGAGCUCGUAGGCGGUCUGUUGCGUCGGCUGUGAAAACCCGGGGCUCAACCUCGGGCCUGCAGUCGAUACGGGCAGACUAGAGUUCGGUAGGGGAGACUGGAAUUCCUGGUGUAGCGGUGAAAUGCGCAGAUAUCAGGAGGAACACCGGUGGCGAAGGCGGGUCUCUGGGCCGAAACUGACGCUGAGGAGCGAAAGCGUGGGGAGCGAACAGG